UACGUAGGGGGCGAGCGUUGUCCGGAUUUAUUGGGCGUAAAGAGCUCGUAGGCGGUUCGAUAAGUCGGAUGUGAAAUCUCCACGCUCAACGUGGAGAGGCCAUUCGAUACUGUCGUGACUCGAGUCCGGUAGGGGAGUGUGGAAUUCCCGGUGUAGCGGUGAAAUGUGUAGAGAUCGGGAGGAACACCGGUGGCGAAGGCGGUCUUCUGGACGGUGACUGACGCUGAGGCGCGAAAGCGUGGGGAGCAAACGGG
rnacentral:rRNA from 1 species